rnacentral:lncRNA from 1 species
CAGCCAGUGUGCCUGCCCCUCACUCUGGUCCACCAGAAAACAGGAGUCUCCUCCCCAAAGACAGGCUUCAGUCAGCUCCCAGAUAGGGCAGCUCAGGGAACUAGGGUCCACCUUAGCCCCCUCCCCUGCCCCGAGGAGAAAAGAGUUGCUCCAAACCCCACUUUGCUGGGUCAGGGCCUCCCAGGGAAGGGCAGGGGCGGGAGGGGGUCUUCACUUUGCAUUUCAAUGGGUUUUUAUGAACCCACCUGCGUGCACACAAAAAAAAACCCUUUCUGUUCAGGAUGGGGGUAAUUUCAACCACGCACAGUCUCGGGGCCUC